rnacentral:rRNA from 1 species
CGCUGGCGGCGUGCCUAAUACAUGCAAGCCGAACGGUCUUUCUAUGGAAGCUUGCUUCCACUGAGAAGAUAGUGGCGAACGGGUGAGUAACACGUGGGUAACCUGCCCAUAAGAGGGGGAUAACAUCCGGAAACGGGUGCUAAUACCGCAUAGUUUUCUUGAUCGCAUGAUUGAGAAAGGAAAGACGGCCUUUGUGCUGUCGCUUAUGGAUGGACCCGCGGCGUAUUAGUUAGUUGGUGAGGUAACGGCUCACCAAGACGAUGAUACGUAGCCGACCUGAGAGGGUGAUCGGCCACAUUGGGACUGAGACACGGCCCAAACUCCUACGGGAGGCAGCAGUAGGGAAUCUUCCGCAAUGGACGAAAGUCUGACGGAGCAACGCCGCGUGAGUGAAGAAGGUUUUCGGAUCGUAAAACUCUGUUGUCAGAGAAGAACAAGUUGGAGAGUAACUGCUCCAGCCUUGACGGUAUCUGACCGGAAAGCCACGGCUAACUACGUGCCAGCCGCCGC